rnacentral:rRNA from 1 species
UACGUAGGGCGCAAGCGUUGUCCGGAAUUAUUGGGCGUAAAGAGCUCGUAGGCGGUUUGUCGCGUCUGCUGUGAAAACCUAAGGCUCAACCUUGGGCUUGCAGUGGGUACGGGCAGACUAGAGUGCGGUGAGGGUGACUGGAAUUCCUGGUGUAGCGGUGGAAUGCGCAGAUAUCAGGAGGAACACCAGCGGCGAAGGCGGCGCUCUGGGCCGGUACUGACACUGAGGAGCGAAAGCGUGGGUAGCAAACAGG